UCUCCCAAAGGCAGGUUGUUGACCCCCCCAUCUCUUCAGAGGACAUUGCCAGCCCUACGAAACCUAACACGCCUACUUUGUCCAGUCUGGUUGAGGACCAUGAGGGUUCAGAUAAUCUAGGACUCUCUUCGAAUAAUGACCUUCUAUCUCCGUGCCCCUCUUCGGAAGCUCUUGUUACUAACAAAAAACCUGAGACUAUGCAGGACAAGCUUCUCGCCUUGGCUCCAAAUCCUCCACCCUUGA
rnacentral:lncRNA from 1 species